rnacentral:rRNA from 1 species
AUUGAACGCUGGCGGCAUGCCUUACACAUGCAAGUCGAACGGUAACAGGUCUUCGGAUGCUGACGAGUGGCGAACGGGUGAGUAAUACAUCGGAACGUGCCUAGUAGAGGGGGAUAACUACUCGAAAGAGUGGCUAAUACCGCAUGAGAUCUACGGAUGAAAGCAGGGGAUCACAAGACCUUGUGCUACUAGAGCGGCCGAUGGCAGAUUAGGCAGUUGGUGGGAUAAAAGCUUACCAAGCCGACGAUCUGUAGCUGGUCUGAGAGGACGAUCAGCCACACUGGGACUGAGACACGGCCCAGACUCCUACGGGAGGCAGCAGUGGGGAAUUUUGGACAAUGGGCGAAAGCCUGAUCCAGCAAUGCCGCGUGCAGGAUGAAGGCCUUCGGGUUGUAAACUGCUUUUGUACGGAACGAAAAGCCCCGGGUUAAUACCCUGGGGUCAUGACGGUACCGUAAGAAUAAGCACCGGCUAACUACGUGCCAGCCGCCGCCGUAA